rnacentral:rRNA from 1 species
UACGUAGGGGGCUAGCGUUGUCCGGAAUCAUUGGGCGUAAAGCGCGCGUAGGCGGCCCGGUAAGUCCGCUGUGAAAGUCAAAGGCUCAACCUUUGAAUGUCAGCGGAUACUGCCGGGCUAGAGUCCGGAAGAGGCGAGUGGAAUUCCUGGUGUAGCGGUGGAAUGCGCAGAUAUCAGGAGGAACACCAACGGCGAAGGCAGCUCGCUGGGACGGUACUGACGCUGAGGCGACGAAAGCGUGGGGAGCGAACAGG